rnacentral:rRNA from 1 species
UUUGAUGGCGACCGGCGCACGGGUGAGUAACACGUAUCCAACCUGCCGAUGACUCGGGGAUAGCCUUUCGAAAGAAAGAUUAAUACCCGAUGGCAUAAUUCUUCCGCAUGGUAGAACUAUUAAAGAAUUUCGGUCAUCGAUGGGGAUGCGUUCCAUUAGGUUGUUGGCGGGGUAACGGCCCACCAAGCCCUCGAUGGAUAGGGGUUCUGAGAGGAAGGUCCCCCACAUUGGAACUGAGACACGGUCCAA